GUGCAAUGGCAUAAGCCAGCUUGACUGCGAGCGUGACGGCGCGAGCAGGUGCGAAAGCAGGUCAUAGUGAUCCGGUGGUUCUGAAUGGAAGGGCCAUCGCUCAACGGAUAAAAGGUACUCCGGGGAUAACAGGCUGAUACCGCCCAAGAGUUCAUAUCGACGGCGGUGUUUGGCACCUCGAUGUCGGCUCAUCACAUCCUGGGGCUGAAGUAGGUCCCAAGGGUAUGGCUGUUCGCCAUUUAAAGUGGUACGCGAGCUGGGUUUAGAACGUCGUGAGACAGUUCGGUCCCUAUCUGCCGUGGGCGCUGGAGAACUGAGGGGGGCUGCUCCUAGUACGAGAGGACCGGAGUGGACGCAUCACUGGUGUUCGGGUUGUCAUGCCAAUGGCACUGCCCGGUAGCUAAAUGCGGAAGAGAUAAGUGCUGAAAGCAUCUAAGCACGAAACUUGCCCCGAGAUGAGUUCUCCCUGACUCCUUGAGAGUCCUGAAGGAACGUUGAAGACGACGACGUU
rnacentral:rRNA from 1 species